UACGUAGGGGGCAAGCGUUGUCCGGAAUCAUUGGGCGUAAAGAGCGUGUAGGCGGCCAGAUAAGUCCGCUGUGAAAACUCGAGGCUCAACUUCGAGCUGUCGGUGGAAACUAUUUGGCUAGAGUCCGGAAGAGGAGAGUGGAAUUCCUGGUGUAGCGGUGAAAUGCACAGAUAUCAGGAAGAACAUCCGUGGCGAAGGCGGCUCUCUGGUACGGAACUGACGCUGAGACGCGAAAGCGUGGGGAGCGAACAGG
rnacentral:rRNA from 1 species